GACGAACGCUGGCGGCGUGCUUAACACAUGCAAGUCGAACGGAAAGGCCCCUUUGGGGGUACUCGAGUGGCGAACGGGUGAGUAACACGUGCGUAACCUGCCCUUGACUUCGGGAUAACUUCAGGAAACUGGGGCUAAUACCGGAUAGGAAUCCUUGCUGCAUGGUGGGGGUUGGAAAGCUUCGGCGGUUUUGGAUGGACUCGCGGCUUAUCAGCUUGUUGGUGGGGUAGUGGCUUACCAAGGCGUUGACGGGUAGCCGGCCUGAGGGGGCGACCGGCCACACUGGGACUGAGAGACGGCACAGGCGCCGACGGGUGGCAGCAGGGGGGAAGAUUGCACCAGGGGCGGAGGCCGGAUGCAGAAGCGCCGCGGGCGGGAUGACGGCCUUCGGGUUGAAAACCGCUUUCAGCAGGGGCGAAGCUUGUGGUGACGGUACCUGCAGAAGAAGCACCGGCUAACUACGUG
rnacentral:rRNA from 1 species